rnacentral:rRNA from 1 species
UACGUAGGGGGCUAGCGUUGUCCGGAAUCAUUGGGCGUAAAGCGCGCGUAGGCGGCCAGAUAAGUCCGGUGUGAAAGUCAAAGGCUCAACCUUUGAAUGCCGCUGGAAACUGUCUGGCUAGAGUCCGGGAGGGGCGAGUGGAAUUCCUGGUGUAGCGGUGAAAUGCGCAGAUAUCAGGAGGAACACCAAUGGCGAAGGCGGCUCUCUGGGACGGUACUGACGCUGAGACGCGAAAGCGUGGGGAGCGAACAGG